GUAUUAUAAAUACGGUAUACAAAAAUUGUAUUCCUUUUUUAAGGUUAAUACCGUUAAAGACAACGGUCCAAUAGACCGCAUAAAUUAUUCUGUCGCCGCAGUCCGCCACAGUUUCGAACAGCACAUGGCGGCCAGUCGUGGUGAUAUCUGUACGUGUGUGUGCUCGGUGUUCGCUAGUCUAGGGUGUUUCCUUGAUGAAUAUCUGUGUGACAGUUACAUUAAAUGGUUAUUUUUGGUCAGGUUUAUCUCUGGAAAGUGUUACGAGUGAUGACCAGCAUGUUCGAGCGGUUUUUAUUGCCGUACUGUGUGCGAUGUCUUGGAUACACCAGCGUUGAUCAAGGGACAGCGAUUUUCUCAGCUCUGAUUGUUCCAUUUGGAGGUGGUGUACAAGGACUCAUUCCACAUCUCGAGAUAUGUUCCAACACUUGCUACAAGCGUUUAAAUAAAUGCUGUUAAAUUUCA